CUACGGGGGGCUGCAGUGAGGAAUAUUGCACAAUGGGGGGAACCCUGAUGCAGCAACGCCGCGUGGAGGAUGACGCAUUUCGGUGUGUAAACUCCUUUUAUACGUCAAGAAAAUGACGGUAGCAUAUGAAUAAGCACCGGCUAACUCCGUGCCAGCAGCCGCGGUAAUACGGGAGGGUGCAAGCGUUACUCGGAAUCACUGGGCGUAAAGGACGCGUAGGCGGGUUGGAAAGUCAGGUGUGAAAUCCUACAGCUUAACUGUAGAACUGCACUUGAAACUUCUAAUCUAGAGUAUGGGAGGGGGAGAUGGAAUUAGUGGUGUAGGGGUAAAAUCCGUAGAUAUCACUAGGAAUACCUAAAGCGAAGGCGAUCUCCUGGAACAUUACUGACGCUAAGGCGUGAAAGCGUGGGGAGCAAACAGGAUUAGAUACCCGAGUAGUC
rnacentral:rRNA from 1 species